rnacentral:lncRNA from 1 species
GGCUCUGGUGGUGGUUCUCAGGGAGUGUAACAGUGUGUAACCUUGAUACUUUUGGACUUGAUCCUCAGUUUGAUGUCAGCUUUGGGACUGAUGAGGUAACAAACAUUCAGAUCUUUAGUGAGAAUUUACCCUCCUUGUUAUCAUAUGAUGGCAUGUCACAACAAUACUAAUCAAAAUGGCUUACUGAGUCUGUGUGAACGGAAGUACAGUUUUAAUAGACACAUUUUUUUUCCCAUUAAAAAUUUGAAAGUUCAUUAGUUCAUCAUUUAUGUAUUUUAUGUAGAAAUAAAACACAUUAUAGAUCUCAGUGCAUCCAUGCUAUUGAUUAUUGCAUGAACCAAAAUACAUAUACAUUAAAUAAUAAUUUUUGUAAAAGUUGUAAAUAAAGGAAACCUUAUUGGAGUAUGUUUUACUUGUUUGCAGGUGUGUGUGCUUGUGUGAGGUGAACUGUAUAUAGGUUAGUUAGAGAGCCAGUCAUCCUAUGCGUUCUUCGUAAUCCUUUCAUGAGUGCCUCAUUAGCCUGUGAUGGCCAAACCACAAGAGUGUUUAAUCUUAACCCCGUGAUGGCGAGGAGACCGAAUCUACUUCUGUCCAUCUUCCCAGGGGUUCAAGACUCUGAGGUCCAUAUGGCAGGACAUAGAAGUGAAGUCAGCAUUGUUUUACGAGCCUGCUGCUUUCAUUUUAGGCCAACAUGGCUACAUCUUGGAUUAUUGAUUUUUUCUAAUGAAUAUGUCUUGACUAAUGGGGGUCGUAUCCUAUUGUCCAGUCGAGAUGUGAAUGAUUGCCUUUUUUGAAGGUAGAAGUAAAAGAGAAUUUUUGCUGAAAGAAAGUUUCCACUGACCAUAAAAUAAAUUAUAUUUGAACAUUUUUGAUAAGAUGACAGAUUAUUGAUAAAGCAUCACCUUGACUAUCCAUUAAAAGUUAGGAGUGAUAUUCAUAAAUCAACAACUUGUUCACAUUGUACAUGGCCAUGAGCGAUGUUUUCAAUAAUAAUAUUAAUACAAUUGUACAUUUAUCAUUUAUACUUAAAGAGGUCAUUUGACGUUGCUAAAAAAUAACAUUAUUUUGUGUAUGUUUAUGCUGUUUAAGGUUCAAAAAACACAUUAUUUUCCACAUACUGUACAUUUAUUGUUUCUCCUCUAAGCCCCAAUACUGUACAUUAUUGUUUCUCCUCUAAGCCCCACCUUUACUAAAAAAAGUAACAAUACUACAGUGAGAAUCAAAAGUUUACGCCUUCUUUCUUAGCUUGAACAUUUGGGCGGUGUUAUGCAAAUCUUCCCACACAGUGAUGUAGACAUGUGGGGGCGUGUUUAAACGAGGCAUUUUAGGAGGGCGUGGACGAGUCUUAACUUUUAUAAAGAAUAUCUCUUUGGGUUUGAGACUUUAGUCUUUGCAACUUUAGGGAUCUUGUCUAUUCACGAACAGCUUGUAACACUUCAAAGAAAAAGGAAAACUUGAAAUCGCAUCAUAUGACCACUUUAAAUGUUUAUAUUUUAAGUAAAGAUCAUGUUCCAUAGAGAUAUUUUGUAAAUUUCCUACUGUAAAUAUAUCAAAACUUCAUUUUUGAUUAGUAAUAUGCAUGGCUAAGGACUUCAUUUGGACAACUUUAAAAGUGAUUUUCUCAAGAUUUUUUGCACCUUCAGAUUCCAGUUUUUCAAACAGUUGUAUCUCUGCCAAAAAUUGUCCUAUCCUAACAAACCUCAAUGGAAAGCUUAUUUAUUCAGCUUUCAGAUGAUGUAUAAUUCUCAAAAAAAAAAAAAAAAAAAUAAAACUUUAUGACUGGUUUUGAGGUCCAGGGACUCACAUACACACAGUAAAUGGACUUAUAUAAUAGUAUUAUACGUAGCAACAUAUCAUAUGUAUAUGUAUAUAAUGGUA